GUCCAUCUGACUUAAAGAGGUUUGGAUCCCGAUUCCAAAGGUCACAGGUUCGAAUCCUGUCGUGUGCGCCA
rnacentral:tRNA from 1 species